AACUACACACACACACACACACACACACACACACACACACAAUUGUUUUCACUUUACUUGCCUAAUUAGAGCUCCCCUCACGUCUGCAUUGUCACCUACAGUCUGUGAUUGUCACACCUGUUUGGGAGGGACAAAUUAGACCUUUGUCACUAGGCGCAGAUGUCUAAUUAAUCAAAAUAAUUGAAAACACCUAUGUGGGGGCGCUUCUUUCUUUUGAAUCUCCCAUUCCUAUUCCUUUUAAACAUCCCAUGUCAGCCCUAUAACACACAACUAAUGUAAAUCUUAGUAUAGCACAAUGUGCCACAACUUUUAUUUAAUUCAUCCUUUGACGUAUUCAUGUAUUACACUUUCUCCAGUCCUAUUUUACCAAUUACCUAUUUUUUUUCCCUUGUAUUGUCUAAAUAAAAGCAUCAAAAUAUCAACUAAAUGAAAACACUUGAUAUGAGGCUUGAAGUGUUGCUUCGUGGAAUGCAGCAUGUACUGUAUGUAAAUAGUUUGGAUGCAAAUGUAAAUAAUAAACUGCUAUGUGGAUGCUUUAA